rnacentral:rRNA from 1 species
UACGGGGGGGCAAGCGUUGUUCGGAAUUACUGGGCGUAAAGGGCGCGUAGGCGGUUGGAUAAGUCAGCUGUGAAAACCACGGGCUUAACUCGUGGCCUGCAGUUGAGACUGUCUGGCUUGAGUGUGGGAGAGGAGAGUGGAAUUCCUGGUGUAGCGGUGAAAUGCGUAGAUAUCAGGAGGAACACCGGUGGCGAAGGCGGCUCUCUGGACCACAACUGACGCUGAGGCGCGAAAGCUAGGGGAGCAAACAGG